rnacentral:rRNA from 1 species
GAGUUUGAUCCUGGCUCAGGAUGAACGCUAGCGGCAGGCUUAAUACAUGCAAGUCGAGGGGCAGCGGGAGUAGCAAUACUUGCCGGCGACCGGCAAACGGGUGCGGAACGCGUACGUAACUAACCCUGUACAGGGAGAUAGCCCGAAGAAAUUCGGAUUAAUAUUCCAUAAAAUAGUUUUGUGGCAUCACGAGAUUAUAAAAGUCGCGAGACGGUACGGGACGGACGUGCGCAUGAUAGGUAGUUGGUAAGGCAGCGGCUUACCAAGCCGACGAUCAUUAGCUGAUGUGAGAGCAUGAUCAGCCACAUGGGCACUGCGACACGGGCCCAACUCCUACGGGAGGCAGCAGUAAGGAAUAUUGGUCAAUGGACGCAAGUCUGAACCAGCCAUGCCGCGUGAAGGAUGAAGGACUUAUGGUUUGUAAACUUCUUUUACAGGGGACGAAAGAGGUCUUUUUUAAGGCUAUUGACGGUACCUUGUGAAUAAGCACCGGCUAACUCCGUGCCAGCAGCCGCGGUAAUACGGAGGGUGCGAGCGUUAUCCGGAUUUACUGGGUUUAAAGGGUGCGCAGGCGGGUAAUUAAGUCAGUGGUGAAAUCUCCGUGCUAAACAUGGAAACUGCCAUUGAUACUAAAGAUCUUGAAUAUUGUGGAGGUAAGCGGAAUAUGUCAUGUAG